UACAGAGGGUGCGAGCGUUAAUCGGAAUUACUGGGCGUAAAGCGUGCGUAGACGGUUGUGUAAGUCGGAUGUGAAAGCCCCGGGCUCAACCUGGGAAUGGCAUUCGAGACUGCAUAGCUAGGAUGCGGAAGAGGGAAGUGGAAUUUCCGGUGUAGCGGUGAAAUGCGUAGAUAUCGGAAGGAACACCAGUGGCGAAAGCGACUUCCUGGUCCAGCAUCGACGUUCAGGCACGAAAGCAUGGGGAGCAAAAGGG
rnacentral:rRNA from 1 species